CCGGGCUGACCCGCCUGGGAUUCCUGCCUUCUAGGUCUAGGCCCGGCGAGAGACUCCACACAGCGG
ensembl:miRNA